GAGCCCGUAAGACAGGUGAGAUCUGCUAACCCCUCACAACCAUGGUUCAACUCCAUGGCUUGCUCG
rnacentral:tRNA from 1 species